AAGUAAUAGAAUCAAAGUGUGUGACCUAGCUGGGUCUCAUCCUCAUUGUUAACUACGGGGACUUCGUAACUGGAUGACCAGGUCCUAAAUUGGACAGAAUAAAUCUUAAAGGUGAUCCGUCUUUUUGGUAGGUAAAGAAAACACAGAAUUGCAAUUCUGAGGCUUAGAAGACUUCUUCGAGUGCCAUGACAAGGCCUGUAAAGUAUUUGCAGUAUGGAGUGGAGUACAUGAUACAAAAGCAAGCAUUUUUAUCUCCCAAACCCUGCAUCAGGGGUCAUGGGAGAGACAAAAGGAAGGCCCUUCCCGAGUUUAAAAUUCAAUUCGCAAGGCAGGACUUAGGAAAAUUAAAGCAAAUAUUAAACGGAAGAAAAUCCCUUGCGUAGAGUAAUUGCCAAUUGCGUUGUACAAAUCAAAACUGAAAUAAAAUGUUAGGGCGUUCUAAACAAAUAGCUGGAGAAAUAGAUAAGACAAAUCUAAAAUGGAAGAAAAGGCGGAUUCGAGUUGAAAAUGCCAAGUUGAGGACCGAAAGCAUUUGGGUAGAAGCAGCCUCCAGGCUGGAAGGCAAAUAGCAAACGAGUACUGCCACCAAAGAUCUGGAAAGGCCAAUAAAUGUUGCAGUGGGUCGGUUUAACUGAAGGCGGUUUCCUCCUCCUCCAUUAGCUCGGCCCCAGUUGGAAGCGCAGUGCGCGGCGCCGCGCUCCAGGCCCCCGGCACGGGUGGGAGCGGGGGGGAACAAGCGUGGGCGGGGCGGGGCGAGCGCGGGCUCUCAGCCGGCGCAGGGGCGGGGCGGCUAUAUUACGUGCGCGGCGCCGCCCCUGCGAGAGGACGUUGCGUGCUCGCUCGCGUCAGGCGAGUCUCCGCGUCUCCCUCGCGAACUCGGUGAAAGGAAUUGGCGCCGUUCGACACCAGGCGGAUCCACUCUGCAGCAGAAACCCACCUCCAGCCGCAGCCGCAGCCGCAGCCGCCGCCCGGGCCGAGGAGCAGCCUCAGCCGCCGCCAGUGGCCGAGUGAGCGGAGCCGAGUUUGAGCCAGCGCCUAGUGGUGAAUUGGGGCCUCACCAUGAGUUCCUCGCCUGUUAAUGUGAAAAAGCUGAAGGUGUCGGAGCUGAAGGAGGAGCUCAAGAAGCGGCGCCUGUCCGACAAGGGCCUCAAGGCCGAGCUCAUGGAGCGUCUCCAGGCCGCGCUGGACGACGAGGAGGCCGGGGGCCGCCCCGCCAUGGAGCCCGGGAACGGCAGCCUAGACCUGGGCGGGGAUUCCGCCGGGCGCUCGGGAGCAGGCCUCGAGCAGGAGGCCGCGGCAGGCGGCGAUGACGACGAGGAGGAAGAGGAGGAGGAGGAGGAAGGGAUAGCCGCCCUGGAUGGCGACCAGAUGGAGCUUGGGGAGGAGAACGGCGCCGCGGGGGCGGCCGACUCGGGCCCGAUGGAGGAGGAGGAGGCCGCCUCGGAGGACGAGAACGGCGACGACCAGGGCUUCCAGGAAGGGGAGGAUGAGCUCGGAGACGAGGAGGAAGCCGCGGGCGACGAGAACGGGCACGGGGAGCAGCAGCCUCAACCGCCGGCGGCGCCGCAGCAACAGCCCCAGCAGCAGCGCGGGGCCGCAAAGGAGGCCGCGGGGAAGAGCAGCGGCCCCACGUCUCUGUUCGCGGUGACGGUGGCGCCGCCCGGGGCGAGGCAGGGCCAGCAGCAGGCGGGAGGUAAGAAGAAGGCGGAAGGCGGCGGAGGCGGCGGUCGCCCCGGGGCUCCGGCGGCGGGAGACGGCAAAACAGAACAGAAAGGCGGAGAUAAAAAGAGAGGUGUUAAAAGACCUCGAGAAGAUCAUGGCCGUGGCUAUUUUGAGUACAUUGAAGAGAACAAGUAUAGCAGAGCCAAAUCUCCUCAGCCACCUGUUGAAGAAGAAGAUGAGCACUUCGACGACACAGUGGUUUGUCUUGAUACUUAUAAUUGUGAUCUACAUUUUAAAAUAUCAAGAGAUCGCCUCAGUGCUUCUUCCCUUACUAUGGAGAGUUUUGCUUUUCUUUGGGCUGGAGGAAGGGCAUCCUAUGGUGUGUCAAAAGGCAAAGUCUGUUUUGAGAUGAAGGUUACAGAGAAGAUCCCAGUAAGGCAUUUAUAUACAAAAGAUAUUGACAUACACGAAGUUCGGAUUGGCUGGUCACUAACCACAAGUGGAAUGUUGCUUGGUGAAGAAGAAUUUUCUUAUGGGUAUUCUCUAAAAGGAAUAAAAACAUGCAACUGUGAGACUGAAGAUUAUGGAGAGAAGUUUGAUGAAAAUGAUGUGAUUACAUGUUUUGUUAACUUCGAAAGUGAUGAAGUAGAACUCUCCUAUGCAAAGAAUGGACAAGAUCUUGGCAUUGCCUUCAAAAUCAGUAAGGAAGUUCUUGCUGGACGACCACUCUUCCCGCAUGUUCUGUGCCACAACUGUGCGGUUGAGUUUAAUUUUGGUCAGAAGGAAAAGCCAUAUUUUCCAAUACCUGAAGACUAUACUUUUAUCCAGAAUGUCCCCUUGGAGGAUCGAGUUAGAGGACCAAAGGGGCCUGAAGAGAAGAAAGAUUGUGAAGUGGUUAUGAUGAUUGGCUUGCCAGGAGCUGGGAAAACUACCUGGGUUACUAAACAUGCAGCAGAAAAUCCUGGUAAAUACAACAUUCUUGGAACAAACACCAUAAUGGAUAAAAUGAUGGUGGCAGGUUUUAAGAAGCAAAUGGCAGAUACUGGGAAACUAAACACACUGUUGCAGAGAGCUCCACAGUGUCUUGGAAAGUUUAUUGAGAUUGCUGCCCGUAAGAAGCGAAACUUCAUUUUGGAUCAGACAAAUGUGUCUGCUGCUGCCCAGAGGAGAAAAAUGUGCCUGUUUGCAGGCUUCCAACGAAAAGCUGUUGUAGUUUGCCCAAAAGAUGAAGACUAUAAGCAAAGAACACAGAAGAAAGCAGAAGUAGAGGGAAAAGACCUACCGGAACAUGCAGUCCUUAAAAUGAAAGGAAACUUUACUCUGCCAGAAGUAGCUGAGUGCUUUGAUGAAAUAACGUAUGUUGAACUUCAGAAGGAGGAAGCCCAAAAACUUUUGGAGCAAUAUAAGGAAGAAAGCAAAAAAGCGCUUCCACCGGAAAAGAAACAGAACACAGGCUCAAAGAAGAGCAAUAAAAAUAAGAGUGGCAAGAAUCAGUUUAACAGAGGUGGUGGCCAUAGAGGGCGCGGUGGAUUCAAUAUGCGUGGUGGAAAUUUCAGAGGAGGAGCUCCUGGGAAUCGUGGUGGAUAUAAUAGGAGGGGCAAUAUGCCACAGAGAGGUGGUGGCGGUGGUGGAAGUGGUGGAAUUGGCUAUCCAUAUCCUCGUGGCCCUGUUUUUCCCAGCCGAGGCGGUUAUUCAAACAGAGGGAAUUACAACAGAGGUGGAAUGCCUAACAGAGGGAACUACAACCAGAACUUCAGAGGACGAGGAAACAAUCGUGGCUACAAAAAUCAAUCUCAGGGCUACAACCAGUGGCAGCAGGGUCAAUUCUGGGGUCAGAAGCCAUGGAGUCAGCAUUAUCACCAAGGAUAUUAUUGAAUACCCAAAUAAAACGAACUGAUACAUAUUUCUCCAAAACCUUCACAAGAAGUCGACUGUUUUCUUUAGAAUCAACAUAUACUUGCAUCUUGACAAGGAACAGGGGUUUUGCUUUUAAACAAAACUGGAUCUGUGGUCUGUCCAUGUGAAUGUGCUGUGUGGAAGAGUAAAAGGGUCCAAGUAAAUGUCUUCCAGUGAUUCCAAUAGGUAUUCCAAAUUAAUUGCUGCUUGUACAUUUAACACGUGUUAUACUGGGCUUCCAGGAUCACCUUAAUUAGAACUCUUAUUUUAAAAAGGCAGGGGAAAGGGAGAAAAUAGUAACUAGGUGCAUAGAUUUAUCUGUAACAGGAAAGAAAGGUUCUCUAGUAUAUCCUUUGCAUACCUGAAAUGUGAGGUAUUUGGUGGUAUGUUAGCAAUUGGUGGUCCUCUUGCAUAGGUUAAAGGCAGUACAUGCAAAUAGAGCCAAGUCCCUUUAAGGUUAAAUCCUUAUUAUAAUGGUUCAAAUUCCUUCUGUUUUAAUGUUAUGUAAGACAUUAUUUCAAUACCCUCCCUGCUUGUAGAGUUGAAAUACUUCCUUAUACAAUAUUCUAAUACAAAGAUAUUUGGGAUACCUAUGUCCUUGGGUUCCCAAAAUCUUUCUGCAUCUGUAUUAAAUGCACAAAUACUUUUUGUUAGCUUAUAAUAAUUUGGAAAAUGAUCUUUUUGGAUAAUUAAGUGAUGUAAAUUUACAUCAAAGUACAAAAAAAUCAGGAAGUGAAAUUUAAGACAAGGACUUUGAUUAUGCUAGUCCAGAGCAUGUACUUUCUUGUUGCCCUGAAAUUAUUUAAAGACUUAAUAAGCUUAGAAGAAAUUAGUUUUCCCCACUACAUACUUAAGAAUAAUGUAUUUUGGUGAAGUGAGAGGACUUGGGUGCUGUACUGACUGAAAAUAUAACUACCAGGGUUUCCUCAGUGAAAUACAGUUCUACUCUGUCAAAUAAAAGCAAUCUCUAAAGACUUUUGAAGAGCAGACAACUUAGAGUAAAAGGUAAAAAACUCAAAGCCAUUUCUGUUCAUCUGAGAAAAACAAACUAGAAAGAUGUUUUUAAAGCGAAUUUAGGUAGUAGAACACGUUUCAUUUCACGUGACUAGUCCUUGUGGUCUAAGGGGGAAGACAUUUUUAUGAAAACUUAACCCUUUAAGAAACCAGUAUAUGCAAAUUUGAAUCCCCUAAGGGUAGGCCAUAUAAUAGGUGUUUUACAACUUACAGAACUUAGAAGUUAUUCCUAGAAAAGGGUAGAAAAAAUAGAUCCCUGUUAAGUCCAUGUGAACAUUUAGUGAACAAUAGAAACUUAAUUUAGAAUUUAGUCCGUAUAGUCACUGGUAGCUUUCUCAAGAUAAAAAUACUUGGAAAAAGUCAUCUUUAAUCUCUAGAAAAUAAAGAGUGGUUGAAAAGAGUCAAAUGUUUGCAACACUGAUCAGUAGUGCUCACAUUACGAACUUUAAAAUGUAAUACUUAAUUAAAAAACUAAGCUUUUUUGUCCCUAAACUUUGUUUUAAAAGAAAAUUUAAAUAUGGAACUUAAUGCACAAAAUAACCUGUGUAAGAUACCAGUAUUUGGGUGGUAGAGGAUAUUGUUAUAUAUUAUUACUGACCUGAUUUGAUGACCAAUGGACCGUAUUUUAAGAUGCUUCCCAAAGCUAUUUUAUUCUAGAGUACUAUUAAAAACCACAGUUAAAGCAAUCAGUAAUUUUUCUACUUUCCUCAUUAAGGUAUUCUGCUUUCCCAAAGUAGUUUACAUUAACAUCACUUUUAAAGGGGUGUCUUAAUCCCCAUCCACCACAGAUUUUUACCUAGGAAUAGAAGGAUUCAAACCCUAUUUGAUCCCUAGCUUUUUGCUGAAAAGUGCAUAAACAGGAAUCCUGAAUUUAUUAUAUAGACCUCCUCGCAUUAUAAAAUCGAAGCAAAGGGAAACCAGCGAUGGAGUAGAGGUACGUAGACUGAAGAGAUGCUUGCAAAUUAAAUAAUGGUAUUAGGGAUAGUCAAAUAUCUUGUUGGCAAACUUGGUCGAUAGAAAUCACAAGUCUAGAGAAAAGCUAGUUAAUUUUAAAUUCCCUGAGGUUCUUUUACUGAGAUGUAAAGCAAGUAGUCAAGGAAAAACAAAGAGGGAGGGGUGAGGGAAGGGGGGGAACUGCAGAAAGCACUCAGAGGUAGUUAAUUAAAGUAGGUAUGAUAAGCUGCAAAGUUUUAAACCUACUAAUUGCCACAAUUCUAUUUUAAUCAGCUAUUUAGCUGGUACCUACCGCUAUAUCACCUAGUGUGAAAUUUCGGAUUUAAUGGAAUAAUGAA